GAGGACACUUGAGCGUAUCUUGUCCAUGUAUCCCCUGGGGGCAUUUUGUUGUGCUGUUUUUCAGGUUGGCAUCCGUGAGGACGUUUCCUCAGCAGAUAUUUUCCCCAAGCAAGUAUGGAAGCUAUCAGAGCUAUGUUCCCCUGCGGAGACGUCUGUGGAUAGUGCCUUCUAUUCCCCAACAGAUCUAAGGAUUUCCUAUCCCCCAGCAGGCCUGUAUUUG
rnacentral:lncRNA from 1 species